CCCUACUGUACAUAACAGAUGUACCACUAUAGACCAUAGACAGGUAGUCUGUCUAACCCUACUGUACAUAACAGAUGUACCACUAUAGACCAUAGACAGGUAGUCUGUCUAACCCUACUGUACAUAACAGAUGUACCACUAUAGACCAUAGACAGGUAGUCUGUCUAACCCUACUGUACAUAACAGAUGUACCACUAUAGACCAUAGACAGGUAGUCUGUCUAACCCUACUGUACAUAACAGAUGUACCACUAUAGACCAUAGACAGGUAGUCUGUCUAACCCUACUGUACAUAACAGAUGUACCACUAUAGACCAUAGACAGGUAGUCUGUCUAACCCUACUGUACAUAACAGAUGUACCACUAUAGACCAUAGACAGGUAGUCUGUCUAACCCUACUGUACAUAACAGAUGUACCACUAUAGACCAUAGACAGGUAGUCUGUCUAACCCUACUGUACAUAACAGAUGUACCACUAUAGACCAUAGACAGGUAGUCUGUCUAACCCUACUGUACAUAACAGAUGUACCACUAUAGACCAUAGACAGGUAGUCUGUCUUCCCUACUGUACAUAACAGAUGUACCACUAUAGACCAUAGACAGGUAGUCUGUCUAACCCUACUGUACAUAACAGAUGUACCACUAUAGACCAUAGACAGGUAGUCUGUCUUCCCUACUGUACAUAACAGAUGUACCACUAUAGACCAUAGACAGGUAGUCUGUCUAACCCUACUGUACAUAACAGAUGUACCACUAUAGACCAUAGACAGGUAGUCUGUACCACUAUAUAGACCAUAGACAGGUAGUCUGUACCACUAUAGACCAUAGACAGGUAGUCUGUACCACUAUAUAGACCAUAGACAGGUAGUCUGUACCACUAUAGACCAUAGACAGGUAGUCUGUCUAACCCUACUGUACAUAACAGAUGUACCACUAUAGACCAU